rnacentral:rRNA from 1 species
CACGUAGGGGGCGAGCGUUGUCCGGAUUUAUUGGGCGUAAAGAGCUCGUAGGCGGUUCGAUAAGUCGGGUGUGAAAACUCUGGGCUCAACCCAGAGACGCCACCCGAUACUGUCGUGACUGGAGUCCGGUAGGGGAGUAUGGAAUUUCCGGUGUAGCGGUGAAAUGCGCAGAUAUCGGAAGGAACACCAGUAGCGAAAGCGGCUUCCUGGUCCAGCACCGACGUCAGGCACGAAAGCGUGGGGAGCAAACAGG